GACAGGGAAUUCUCUGGCAACGGGCACCCUAUCAGCUAAGUGGAAAUUCAGAGUUGAGCUGGGAGGUGGUUGCAGAAGGAAAAGUAUUGGCCCCGGAGUUCCCGCCAUGGCUCAGCGGUAACCAACCCGACUGGUAACCAUGAGGACGCCGGUUCGAUCCCAGGCCUCACCCUGUGGGUUGGGGAUCCAGCAUUGCCGUGAGCUGUGGGGGCAAUUUAAUUAUUAGUCCGACCAAAGAACCUAGAAGAGGAGAGGGGAGCAUUUUCCUCCCCUGCAGUUGGCAAGAUACUUCACUGGAUGAACUCCCCCUUCUCCAGGGCUGUGGCAGCUGAGAGGUCCCGGGACAUUUGACGAAAAGCUGCAGAAGAACUUUCCUGACCAUGGGUGAGGAUACCAAACACUCAGAAGACAGUGAAGAGAGAAUUUCUGCUCAAGAUGUUAUCUUUCAUGAGGAAGCUUUGAUUUUUUUACAACAGGGCCACACCAGUGGCACAUGGAGGGGUCUAGGCACUAUGGCAGCUGCAGCUAUCCAGAAGACCCUAGAAGGCUAGAGGACAUUUUCUUCCUCCCCAAGAGCAGCAACAAUGUUCAGGCAUUGUUCCUAAUAGCUGGCUUGGCCUCAGUCACUGAAACCAGCUGGUUUUGCCCCAGCAAAGCCUGUGACCUGUAGAAAUGACAAUGUCCCGAGGAGGACAGCUCAGCUUCUGAAUCGGCCUUGUUCACAUUUGCCCGUGGAGUUUUCCAACGAGCCAGGUUCCUCUUUAUGUUUAUUGGCCACCUUCGAUUUGAAUCAACGUACUUCCUUCUGAGGAGGGCUAGAUGGUUCCCCACUCCACUGGGGGGUGAUACGACAAUGAAGAAAUAUCCUGGCACAGAUGCUAAUUGUUCUGGACAAAAAGAAGAGGAUGCUGGGCUCCAUCCCUGGGCUCUGUCCCUGGCCUCUGAUGGCUAGCGAACACGAGGAAUCCUGUGACUUCCUUUGACUUCCUCCGUCGGGCCCAUGGACCCGAGCUUCGGGGCCUCAGGCCAUGAACAUUAUCUGCCCAAGGAAGAUGUGAGUCAGGAGGCCUUGCAAACUUUUCUAAAUUAGUCAUGAUUCUGAAGAUAAAGACUUAACUGGUUUGAGCCACAGAGAGCCUUAAGGAUCCCCUAAAUGGCUGCUUUUCACGGUGUCUCAUGGUUUUACUCCUUGAUGGCCUGCUGGUUUUACUCCUUGAUUGUCUGCGUUAGGCUUGGACCUGAGGAUGGAGUCAGUGAGAACAGACAAAAAGGAGGAAAGGAGGUGCUUCACAGAGAUACAUGGCGUACAUCUUUCAAGGGCAUCUCUUUCUGACUGCUUCCCAAUCUUUAUACCAAGGAGUCACCAAAAAUAAAUAAAUAAAUAAAUAAA